UUCUCUCUCCUCUACACUCUUACAACACGAAACUCGAAACAGGAACACUCUCUCUACCCUUCUUUCUUUUCUGAAAACCCCUCAUUUUUUUUCUCAAUCCGUAAACCCUCUAAUUACGAUUUUCCCACCUUAAAGCCCUAAUCUUUAUGAAAUUUACCGGGAAAUUUUCUUCCAUUUUUCCCUUCUAAUUUAGCUUUGUGAAAAAAUCUCUUUUUUAUUUCUUCUUUUUGUAAUUUUUUUAAAUGGAUUCCCACACUUAUUGGCUCUUUUAUUUUCCUUGUUUUUUAUUUCUCUGCCGAAAUUUUGAUCAAUCCAAUAAAACGAAUCGGAGGUUUUGAUUUUUUUGAUGAGAAAACAGAAAGUGGAACCCUAGUUUCUUGAUUUUAUUUCUUUUCUAAAUUAUGGGCGAGAGUCACGUGGUAUUUGAUAUAAGUUCCGAUGAAGAGAAGGGCUUUGACGAGCCAGAAGGCGACGACUACAGCUGGUUAUCCAAGCUUCUUCGUGAUGAAGUGGAUGACUCUGAUGAGGUGGUGGUGGUGGGUGAGAUCAAGUCAAAGUCUUCCAAAUCAACGGUCAGUAAUGAAGACGACGACGAUUGUGUCGUGUUAGACGCUGACCCGGACAAACCCGUAUCGGCUGAUAAUGAUAAGGCGCGCGAGGGUGAGCGUGAGCGUGAGGGUGAUGGAGAGGAAGAUGAUUUGGUUGUAGUGGGAGAAAAGGGACAGGUUGCAUGCAGAGACUUCCCUCAUCCACGGCAUCUUUGUGCUAAAUUUCCUUUCAGUUCUACUGCACAUGAAUUGCAUUGCGACCAGUGUCAUUGUUAUGUCUGUGACUCAGUUGCUCCAUGUGCUCAUUGGGGUUCUGGUGUUUGUGAUAUUGAUCAUUGUCAUGCUACUGAGAAGGAAGAUUUUUGGAAAUCUCAGCGGAAAAAUUUCAGGAUUCAGAAAGAUGCUCCUGUACCAGUUAAAGUUCCGGAAACUUCUCUAUCUACAACGUUUCCACACCUUAACCAAAUUCCACCUCGUGAUAUUAUUCAAUUGGCAUCCAAUUGUGUACCACAGAAUCAACUCUCGAGGCCAGGUAUAGUCCGUGCUUGCCCUUCUUCAAACAGGUUGAGCAUUCCAAACAUCAUAAGUCAGGGUAGAAGCCGACAAUCAGGACCAGUUUUUGGCAAAAACAGGUUACAGACACGCGUAGUUUCUCAACAGUCACCAUUGCUUAGGGUACGCAAUAAUGUCAUCCGUAGGGACAGAGGUGUUAACGGUGGCAACUUGGGAAUGUUUAGAAGGCCCGGGAUUGCUGGAGAUGCCCCCACAAUGAACCAAUCUGUCUAUAGCUCUGCAAACAACACCAGAGGCGUUCAUGCAUCACAAAUUACGUGCGCUCCUGUUCCACCGGCCUUGUCUACUACUGAUGGUAUUAACAUGCAGUGGGUCCCCGGCAUGAGUCAGGAUUCAUGUACAUAUCAGAACAUCUCCCAGACUGGCACUGGAAGUGUCUUUGUGAGUACAGUGCCCUCCCAAUCCCCAGUAUACAGUCAGACAAUUCCAGAACCUCAACCAUACAGCCAGCCUAUGUCUCAACAACCAAUAUACAGACCUAUUCCUCAACUGCAAAUAUACAGCCAGCCUAUUCCUGAAAUUCAUGCAAGCAGUGAACCUGUUCCUCAACCCCAUGGAUAUGCAGAGCAUAUUUCUCAAUCAAAUGAUGGCCUACUUAGCGGUGAGCUUGGCAAUCAAAGGCAAAAUAUGAUAGGUCCAAAUCUUUCUGAUUUUGACCCAUGGUUAAAUGACAGUGGAAGCAAUCAACAACCUCCAAACGAAAAUUGUCAUCUCCAUAGAACAGGGUCUAAAAACGAGCCAUUACCUUUCCAGGAGUUAAAUUCACAUUGUAAUGGAGGUACCAAAUUUCAUUACAGUGACCAUGAAUUUGAUGACUGGUUUCAAGAAAAUCAUGCAGUGCAGGUGCCGGAAGCAUAUACGCCUGCACAUUUUGUUGAUGCAGGUAUGCUUUUAUUUGAUUUUGAAACCUCUUUCAAUGGUCUGGCACAUGUAUAGCCAAGUAUAGCUGGUGCUUUACAAAAGAAGCUGAAAAUAAUUAUGUUUUGUAGGUUGGGCUUACACUUUGUCAGAGGACCUAUUCUAGUGUACAACUAAUAUGAAAUGAAGUGUACAAAGUGUCUAUUGGAUGAAUGAAUCUGUAGAGAGUAACAGAUGCAGGCAAAUCUUUUUAUCUUAAUGAAUCCCAAAGCUUAAAUUAUGUCUCAGUUUCCUCAUGAAUGUGAUUGGAAUCGGACUCUUCCCCGAUUUUCUAAAUGGUUGUCUGGUUGUGUGCAUAGUUCUGUAAGGAAGGUCGGCUUCCUUUCUCAAUUGGCCCUGCUUUGAUAUGUGUACGAAUUGUCUAUUGCCUUAUUGAUAUAUAACAUAAGGGCCCCAAGUCAGCUAUUGCUUCAGAAAUCAGGGAUCUUGGACGCUCGUCUCACAUAGCCAACAAGCAGAGGUAUGAGUGAGUGGUCAAUCCAGUGAUCGAAUGCCACGCUUGAUGCGAUAACCAUUUAAGACAUUCAACUAAAAAAAAGAUUCCAACCGUGGGUGUGAUCUAUGUGGAAGACCAGUUCGAGCUCCCAGAGCCCUACAGCCAAGAGCCGCCUGCAAUCAAAGACAAAUUUAUGUUACAUUCAUUAUCUUGGAUAAAUUUCACUGUUCCGCUUAGUAAGUCUACAUACCACUUGAGCAGCAAAUGGCAACAUUUUUUCUGGAGGCAUGUUGGCGCAGAUGGCUACAAAAAUAACAUACAAAUUUGUAUAAUUUGUCCCCGUGAAUCAAAAGAUUAUGUAAAAGUAGCCCCAACAAGUUCUAGGGAUGAUGGAGUGGUCAGUUGAAUUAAAGUUACAAAAGAUGGUUUUAACUUGUGAGAAUUAAACCACAAAACAAUUUAGUCAAUUUUUGAGAUACAAACCUUUACACCUACAUGGAAA